UACGGAGGGGGCGAGCGUUAUUCGGAAUUAUUGGGCGUAAAGGGCGCGUAGGCGGCCCGGUAAGUCAAAGGUGAAAUCCCUCGGCUCAACUGAGGAACUGCCUUUGAAACUGUCGGGCUUGAGGCCGGGAGAGGGUAGUGGAAUUCCCAGUGUAGCGGUGAAAUGCGCAGAUAUCAGGAGGAACACCAAUUGCGAAGGCAGCUCGCUGGGACGUUACUGACGCUGAGACGCGAAAGCGUGGGGAGCAAACAGG
rnacentral:rRNA from 1 species